rnacentral:rRNA from 1 species
GGGUAUAGACCCGAAACCCGGUGAUCUAGCCAUGGGCAGGUUGAAGGUUGGGUAACACUAACUGGAGGACCGAACCGACUAAUGUUGAAAAAUUAGCGGAUGACCUGUGGCUGGGGGUGAAAGGCCAAUCAAACCGGGAGAUAGCUGGUUCUCCCCGAAAGCUAUUUAGGUAGCGCCUCGUGAAUUCAUCUCCGGGGGUAG